rnacentral:rRNA from 1 species
GAGCUAAUACCGGAUAACAUGUUGAACCGCAUGGUUCAACAGUGAAAGACGGUCUUGCUGUCACUUAUAGAUGGAUCCGCGUCGCAUUAGCUAGUUGGUAAGGUAACGGCUUACCAAGGCAACGAUGCGUAGCCGACCUGAGAGGGUGAUCGGCCACACUGGAACUGAGACACGGUCCAG